CUCCAGACUCCUACGGGAGGCAGCAGUGGGGGAUAUUGCACAAUGGGGGGAACCCUGAUGCAGCGACGCCGCGUGGGUGAAGGAGUGCUUCGGCAUGUAAAGCCCUAUCGGCAGGGAAGAAGCAAGACGGUACCUGACUAAGAAGCCCCGGCUAACUACGUGCCAGCAGCCGCGGUAAUACGUAGGGGGCAAGCGUUAUCCGGAUUUACUGGGUGUAAAGGGGGCGCAGACGGCAGCGCAAGCCAGGAGUGAAAGCCCGGGGCCCAACCCCGGGACUGCUCUUGGAACUGCGCGGCUGGAGUGCAGGAGGGGCAGGCGGAAUUCCUGGUGUAGCGGUGAAAUGCGUAGAUAUCAGGAGGAACACCGGUGGCGAAGGCGGCUUACUGGACAGUAACUGACGUUGAGGCUCGAAAGCGUGGGGAGCAAACAGGAUUAGAUACCCCAGUAGC
rnacentral:rRNA from 1 species